rnacentral:rRNA from 1 species
ACGAUGCAACUAGCCGUUGGAAUCCUUGAGAUUUAGUGGCGCACUAACGCAUUAAGUUGACCGCCUGGGGAGUACGGCCGCAAGGUUAAAACUCAAAUGAAUUGACGGGGGCCCGCACAAGCGGUGGAGCAUGUGGUUUAAUUCGAAGCAACGCGAAGAACCUUACCAGGGCCUUGACAUGCAGAGAACUUUCCAGAGAUGGAUUGGUGCCUUCGGGAACUCUGACACAGGUGCUGCAUGGCUGUCGUCAGCUCGUGUCGUGAGAUG